rnacentral:rRNA from 1 species
GACGAACGCUGGCGGCGUGCUUAACACAUGCAAGUCGAACGAAGAGCGACGGAAGCUUGCUUCUAUCAAUCUUAGUGGCGAACGGGUGAGUAACGCGUAAUCAACCUGCCCUUCAGAGGGGGACAACAGUUGGAAACGACUGCUAAUACCGCAUACGAUCUAAUCUCGGCAUCGAGGAUAGAUGAAAGGUGGCCUCUACAUGUAAGCUAUCACUGAAGGAGGGGAUUGCGCCUGAUUAGCUAGUUGGAGGGGUAACGGCCCACCAAGGCGAUGAUCAGUAGCCGGUCUGAGAGGAUGAACGGCCACAUUGGGACUGAGACACGGCCCAGACUCCUACGGGAGGCAGCAGUGGGGAAUCUUCCGCGAUGGACGAAAGUCUGACGGAGCAACGCCGCGUGAGUGAUGACGGCCUUCGGGUUGUAAAGCUCUGUUAAUCGGGACGAAAAGGCCUUCUUGCGAAACAAGUAGAAA